AUUUCAAAGUUGCUACCAGUGUAUGCAGUAAUUAGAACAAAGAAGAAACAUUCAGUAGAACAUUUUAUUGCCUAGUUGACAACAUUGCUUGAAUGCUGGUGGUUCCUAUCCCUUUGACACUACACAAUUUUCUAAUAUGUGUUAAUGCUAUGUGACAAAACGCCCUGAUUCCUAGUGCCAAAGGUUCAAUUCAGUGUAUAUAACUGAACACACUCAUCCAUUUGUGCUUUUGUUUUUUUUUAUGGUGCUUAAAGUAAAGAGCCCAUCCUUUGCAAGUCAUCCAUGUUGUUACUUA
rnacentral:misc_RNA from 1 species